rfam:Paenalcaligenes hominis strain 15S00501, complete genome.
GGUGAGCCCCUUCGCAUGGUUCAACAGCCAACCUGGUCAGGUCGGGAACGAAGCAGCCACAGCUGUCUCGAACUAGUGCCGAAGCCAGGCUCACCUCU